rnacentral:rRNA from 1 species
UACAGAGGUCUCAAGCGUUGUUCGGAUUCAUUAGGCGUAAAGGGUGCGUAGGCGGCGCGGUAAGUCGGGUGUGAAAUCUUGGAGCUUAACUCCGAAACUGCAUUCGAUACUGCCGUGCUUGAGGACUGGAGAGGAGACUGGAAUUUACGGUGUAGCGGUGAAAUGCGUAGAUAUCGUAAGGAAGACCAGUGGCGAAGGCGGGUCUCUGGACAGUUCCUGACGCUGAGGCGCGAAAGCUAGGGGAGCAAACGGG